rnacentral:rRNA from 1 species
GACAGAGGGUGCAAACGUUGCUCGGAAUCACUGGGCGUAAAGGGCGUGUAGGCGGGAAGGUAAGUCGGGCGUGAAAUCCCUGAGCUCAACUCAGGAACUGCACUCGAAACUACUUUUCUUGAGUGCCGGAGAGGAAAGCGGAAUUCCUGGUGUAGAGGUGGAAUUCGUAGAUAUCAGGAGGAACACCAGUGGCGAAGGCGGCUUUCUGGACGGUAACUGACGCUGAGACGCGAAAGCGUGGGGAGCAAACAGG